GAUGAAGAACGUAGCGAAAUGCGAUACUUGGUGUGAAUUGCAGAAUCCCGUGAACCAUCGAGUCUUUGAACGCAAGUUGCGCCCGAAGCCAUCAGGUUGAGGGCACGUCUGCCUGGGCGUCACAUAUCGUUGCCCAAUGCCUAUUGCAGUGCAAUGGGAAUUUCUAGGGCGAAUGAUGGCUUCCCGUGAGCGUUGUUGCCUCGCGGUUGGUUGAAAAUCGAGUCCUUGGUAGGGUGUGCCAUGGUAGAUGGUGGUCGAGUUAGAACGAUACCGAUCAUGUGCAUGCUCCCCAAAAUAUGGCCUCUAUGACCCACACGCGUCUUUUGACGCUCAUGACGAGACCUCAGGUCAGGCGGGGCUACCCGCUGAAUUUAAGCAUAUCAAUAAGCGGAGGA
rnacentral:misc_RNA from 1 species